AAGACUAUACUUUCAGGGAUCAUUUCUAUAGUUUGUAACUAGAGAAGUUUCUCUGAAUGUGUAGAGCACCGAAAACCACGAGGAAGAGGUGUAGUGUUCUUUCCUGAGCGUGAAGCUGGUUCUUAGUGUUGCAUCGUUGCAACUGCUAUUAACCAUUGAUGAUCGUUCUUGCUUUUCACUUAGAAAAGUAAGGGGGAGAGAACGCAGUCUGAGUGGU